CAAGUCGACUCCACUAUAGCCAAAGCGCCCUCCGCCCUCGUCCGCCUCCCUCACAUCCCAUCUCGCGCCCUCCACCCGCGAGCCUGCUGCUCCGCCGGUGACGCUACGCCUCUAGCGCCCUCCACCUCCUCCUCUAGGCCGGCGGGAUGUCUACUCCCCUCCUCCAAGCAGGCCGCCCGUCCCGCUUAUCGCCUCUCCGUCCAGGCACCCGAGUCCCAGAUCGAGGUCGACCUCGUCUCCGCCGUCCGUUCGCCACGCCUCAGCCCUCAAGUAUUCCCUAACCGUUUUAUUCUCCUUCACGUGUAUGUGCUAUUGGCGUGCUGAUGUGUCCUGUGUGUAUGUGCGACUGUGCGUUGGUGUGGUGCUACCUGCAAACUGUUGUAGAUGAAUCAAUCUAUUAGGAUUUGGGCUGCUGCUUGCUAGCCCUGCUCGUGUAUGUGCUACUAGAUUGCUGGUGCUAAGGUUGUAGUAACUACUGACGUGCUAGGCUAAUGAACAUUGAUCCAUUAGUUGAUUUGCUAGGUUGCUAGGUUGCUAUAAUAUUUGUUGCUAGGUUGCUAGGUUGCUGCUGCUACUGAUUAAUUAAUGAAGUUAGCUUAGUUGAUUUGCUAAACCUAAGAUUUGCUUGCAAUUUGUAGGUAUUGUCAAGAAAUGGACAUUGAUCCAGCUGGUAUUCUUACAAUUGUAGCAAAAUUAUAACAUAUUAUAUAGUUUGUUCUCUGUUUGUAUGCUUACCAGCUCCUGUUUUUACAAUUUUACCCUACACGCUUAAGCGAUGCUUAAGCUCGCCUAAGCUGUAGUUCCUCUAGGCUGAGCCUCACCGCUCGCUUAGCGCUCCGCGCUUUUUUGAUCCUUGUAUAAGGUAUGGAAUAGUUCUGACUUGGUGCAGUGAUUAAUUCUUCAUGUGCAGGAACUUGGAGAGAUGAUACCGGUGGACUCUACCUGCAAGGUACCUAUAUUCUUCACAUGACUUGAUACGGUUAUGAAAAAUGACCCUCUCGAAGCGCAACUAUGUGCUCAGUUGAUCGCCGUUAUGCUCGAUAGUGCGUUCUCUGUUAAAGGUGUCACAUGUUUGAUGAAACGCCCAAUAGCAGUGGUAUAUAUUCAUGAAGUUGCAUAUGGUGGCAUCAAACAUGCAUGGGACUAACUUCUUUCACCAGAAUUAUACAGAUACUUAGAUCAACAAGGACAUUCACGAGCUGCCUGUCUCACCACGAUGACAUGAUGUGGUCUCCAUGUCACUGAACAAAGGAAGCCCCGUGGAUCAGGAUUCUUGUCCUAUUUCAUUCCAAUAAAAAG